rnacentral:tRNA from 1 species
GGGUCUGUAGCUCAGGUGGUUAGAGCACCGUCUUGAUAAGGCGGGGUCGUAGGUUCAAGUCCUACCAGACCCACCA